rnacentral:lncRNA from 1 species
GUCGGUACAUGACUUUCUACCUCUUCUCCGACUUGAAGUUCUCUCCGUUCUUCAGUCAUCCUAUAAUAUUAAAAUUCAUAAAAUAGAUCUGCAUCAGAGUUACAUCAUAUCUUUAAUAUAUAUGGCAUGUACAUAUUCCUAUACCUAACUAUUUACCCACAUACUGCCUAGAGUCGACUAAACCUGCUCUGAUACCACUAAAUGUAACACCCCCUA